rnacentral:rRNA from 1 species
AGGAGAGUUUGAUCCUGGCUCAGGAUGAACGCUGGCGGCGUGCUUAACACAUGCAAGUCGAACGGAGUAUUAGGAAUGAAGUUUUCGGAUGGAUUUUUUAAUACUUAGUGGCGGACGGGUGAGUAACGCGUGGGUAACCUGCCUCACACAGGGGGAUAACAGUUGGAAACGACUGUUAAUACCGCAUAAGACCACAGUACCGCAUGGUACAGGGGUAAAAACUCCGGUGGUGUGAGAUGGACCCGCGUCUGAUUAGUUAGUUGGCGGGGUAACGGCCCACCAAGACGACGAUCAGUAGCCGAUCUGAGAGGAUGACCGGCCACAUUGGGACUGAGACACGGCCCAAACUCCUACGGGAGGCAGCAGUGGGGAAUAUUGCACAAUGGGGGAAACCCUGAUGCAGCGACGCCGCGUGAGUGAAGAAGUAUUUCGGUAUGUAAAGCUCUAUCAGCAGGGAAGAAGAUGACGGUACCUGAGUAAGAAGCCCCGGCUAACUACGUGCCAGCAGCCGCGGUAAUACGUAGGGGGCAAGCGUUAUCCGGAUUUACUGGGUGUAAAGGGAGCGCAGACGGCGCAGCAAGUCUGAAGUGAAAGCCCGGGGCUUAACUCCGGGACUGCUUUGGAAACUGCUGUGCUUGAGUAUCGGAGGGGCAGGCGGAAUUCCCAGUGUAGCGGUGAAAUGCGUAGAUAUUGGGAAGAACACCGGUGGCGAAGGCGGCCUGCUGGACGAUAACUGACGUUGAGGCUCGAAGGCGUGGGGAGCAAACAGGAUUAGAUACCCUGGUAGUCCCCU